GACGAACGCUGGCGGCGUGGAUUAGGCAUGCAAGUCGAACGGUAUCAUCCUUUCGGGGGUGAGAGAGUGGCGAACUGGUGAGUAACACGUAGGUUAUCUACCCUCAAGACGGGGACAACCCAGGGAAACUUGGGCUAAUACCGGAUGUGAGCAACUUUUAGUUGUUUGAAAGGUGGCGUAAGCUGUCGCUUGGGGAUGAGCCUGCGUCCUAUUAGUUAGUUGGUGAGGUAACGGCUCACCUAGGCAAUGAUAGGUAGGCGGCCUUAACGGGUGGUCGCCCACACUGGGAUUGAGAUACGGCCCAGACUCCUACGGGAGGCAGCAGUCGAGAAUAGUCUACAAUGGUCGGAAGACUGAUAGUGCGACGCCGCGUGAACGAUGAAUCCCUUCGGGGUGUAAAGUUCUUUUAUAUGUGAGCAGUGCUUCUUAUAUUAACAGUAUGGGGAAGAGAUAUUAGCAUAUGAAAUAAGCAACGGCUAACUCCGUAGCCAGCAGCCGCGGUAAAUA
rnacentral:rRNA from 1 species